ACGGGUGAGUAAUGUCUGGGGAUCUGCCCGAUAGAGGGGGAUAACCACUGGAAACGGUGGCUAAUACCGCAUAACGUCGCAAGACCAAAGAGGGGGACCUUCGGGCCUCUCACUGUCGGAUGAACCCAGAUGGGAUUAGCUAGUAGGCGGGGUAAUGGCCCACCUAGGCGACGAUCCCUAGCUGGUCUGAGAGGAUGACCAGCCACACUGGAACUGAGACACGGUCCAGACUCCUACGGGAGGCAGCAGUGGGGAAUAUUGCACAAUGGGCGCAAGCCUGAUGCAGCCAUGCCGCGUGUAUGAAGAAGGCCUUCGGGUUGUAAAGUACUUUCAGCGGGGAGGAAGGCGAUGUGGUUAAUAACCGCAUCGAUUGACGUUACCCGCAGAAGAAGCACCGGCUAACUCCGUGCCAGCAGCCGCGGUAAUACGGAGGGUGCAAGCGUUAAUCGGAAUUACUGGGCGUAAAGCGCACGCAGGCGGUCUGUUAAGUCAGAUGUGAAAUCCCCGGGCUUAACCUGGGAACUGCAUUUGAAACUGGCAGGCUUGAGUCUUGUAGAGGGGGGUAGAAUUCCAGGU
rnacentral:rRNA from 1 species